UUAGGGGAAGGACGGCUAAGCUC
rnacentral:sRNA from 1 species